GACGAACGCUGACGGCGUGCUUAACACAUGCAAGUCGAAGGGAGUGGCGCACGGGUGAGUAACACGUGAGUCACCUGCCCUUUUCUUUGGGAUAAGCCUGGAAAACUGGGUCUAAUACUGGAUGGGUUGGGAUGGGCUCGCGGCGUAUCCGCGUGUUGGUGGGGUGAUGGCUUACCAAGGCGUUGACGGGUAGCCGGCCUGAGAGGGUAGCCGGGCACAUUGGGACUGAGAUACGGCCCAGACGCCUACGGGAGGCAGCAGUGGGGGAUAUUGCACAAUGGACGAAAGUCUGAUGCAGCGACGUCGUGUGGGGGAUGAAGGCCUUCGGGUUGUAAACUCCUUUCGCCCGCGGAAUGGUAGUGGGUAAAGAAGCGCCGGCUAACUACGUGCCAGCAGCCGCGGUAAUAC
rnacentral:rRNA from 1 species